GACAGAGGUCUCAAGCGUUGUUCGGAUUCAUUGGGCGUAAAGGGUGUGUAGGUGGCGCCGUAAGUCGGGUGUGAAAUUUCGGAGCUUAACUCCGAAACUGCAUUCGAUACUGCGGUGCUUGAGGACUGGAGAGGAGACUGGAAUUCAUGGUGUAGCAGUGAAAUGCGUAGAGAUCAUGAGGAAGACCAGUGGCGAAGGCGGGUCUCUGGACAGUUCCUGACACUGAGACACGAAGGCCAGGGGAGCAAACGGG
rnacentral:rRNA from 1 species